rnacentral:tRNA from 1 species
UCAACCGAAGCCAAAAUGUGCGGCACUUCAUUGUUAUCGAAAUUAUUGGGUUCACACCCCGGUAGAG